GUGCCAGCAGCCGCGGUAAUACGGAGGGUGCAAGCGUUAAUCGGAAUUACUGGGCGUAAAGCGAGUGUAGGCGGCUGCAUAAGUCGGAUGUGAAAGCCCUGGGCUCAACCUGGGAAUGGCAUUCGAUACUGUGCGGCUAGAGUCUGAUAGAGGGAAGUGGAAUUCCAGGUGUAGCGGUGAAAUGCGUAGAUAUCUGGAAGAACACCAGUGGCGAAGGCGGCUUCCUGGAUCAAGACUGACGCUGAGGCUCGAAAGCGUGGGGAGCAAACAGGAUUAGAUACCCCAGUAGUCC
rnacentral:rRNA from 1 species